GUGAAACUUCUUAGAGGGACUGGCGCUCAACAAGGCGCACGAGAAAGAGCAAUAACAGGUCUGUGAUGCCCUAAGAUGUCCGGGGCCGCACGCGUGCUACAAUGACGAUACUAGUGAGCAUGAUUAACUUGCCCGAAAGGGUAGGUAAAACUGUUCAAUCAUCGUCGUGACUGGGAUUGGGGUUUGCAAUUAUCCCCCAUGAACCAGGAAUUCCUAGUAAGCACAAGUCAUAAGCUUGUGCUGAUUACGUCCCUGCCCUUUGUACACACCGCCCGUCGCUACUACCGAUUGAAUGGCUUAGCAAGGUCAUUGAAUUGAGUCUUUGCAGUUCAUCCUGCUUGGAUUCGAGAAGAUGCCCGAACUUGGUCAUUUAGAGGAAGUAAAAGUCGUAACAAGGUUUCCGUAGGUGAACCUGCGGAAGGAUCAUUA
rnacentral:rRNA from 1 species